rnacentral:rRNA from 1 species
UACGAAGGGUGCAAACGUUGCUCGGAAUUAUUGGGCGUAAAGCGCACGUAGGCGGUAUCGCAAGUCCCAUGUGAAAGCCCACGGCUUAACCGUGGAAGUGCAUGGGAAACUGCAGUACUUGAGUACUUAAGAGGAUCGCGGAAUUCCCGGUGUAGAGGUGAAAUUCGUAGAUAUCGGGAGGAACACCGGUGGCGAAGGCGGCGACCUGGGUCGAUACUGACGCUGAGGUGCGAAAGCGUGGGGAGCAAACAGG